rnacentral:rRNA from 1 species
ACGGAAGGCAGCAGUGGGGAAUAUUGGGCAAUGGGGGAAACCCUGACCCAGCAACGCCGCGUGAAGGAAGAAGGCCUUCGGGUUGUAAACUUCUUUUACCAGGGACGAAAUUUGACGGUACCUGGAGAAAAAGCAACGACUAACUACGUGCCAGCAGCCGCGGUAAUACGUAGGUUGCAAGCGUUGUCCGGAUUUACUGGGUGUAAAGGGCGUGUAGGCGGAGCUGCAAGUCAGAUGUGAAAUCCCGGGGCUCAACCCCGGAACUGCAUUUGAAACUGUAGCUCUUGAGUAUAGGAGAGGCAAGCGGAAUUCCUAGUGUAGCGGUGAAAUGCGUAGAUAUUAGGAGGAACACCAGUGGCGAAGGCGGCUUGCUGGACGAUAACUGACGCUGAGGCGCGAAAGCGUGGGGAGCAAACAGGAUUAGAUACCCUGGUA